rnacentral:rRNA from 1 species
UACGGAGGAUCCAAGCGUUAUCCGGAAUCAUUGGGUUUAAAGGGUCCGUAGGCGGUUUGGUAAGUCAGUGGUGAAAGCCCAUCGCUCAACGGUGGAACGGCCAUUGAUACUGCUAGACUUGAAUUAUUAGGAAGUAACUAGAAUAUGUAGUGUAGCGGUGAAAUGCUUAGAGAUUACAUGGAAUACCAAUUGCGAAGGCAGGUUACUACUAAUGAUUGACGCUGAUGGACGAAAAGCGUGGGGUAGCGAACAGG